rnacentral:pre_miRNA from 15 species
GUGCAAUUGCCGCUGGGAUACACCCUGUGCUCGCUUUGAGUUUAUGUUGCAAGUGAACACAGCUGGUGGUAUCCAGAGGCCGUUGACA